UCCUUUUAUGAAAGUAUCUAUUUACCAUCUAUUUUGUUGCUACCGUCUUUUCUUCUAUUGUUUGGAUUUGCAGGUUCGCAUGGUAGCGGUUUCAUCUUCUUGCUCAGGUUCGAAUCUGCAGUUUGCAUUUGCAGUUGAUGUUUUUAGAGAUUUUAAUAGUUCAGGCAGUCAAAGGUUUGCCCAAGGAUAGGAAAUCUCUAUCAGAUGCUGGGCAGUGGCUUGAAGCAGUAGUAAAAUAUUUGCCGAAGGAGAAGUACCAAAUAUUAGAUUUUUGGUACAGGCUAGGAAGUGAUCUGAUUGAUAUUUAGAUAGCUGGAACUUGGAAGCAAAUGGAAGCUCAUGGAGUUUUGUCAUGAAUGCUUGAUGCUUUGUUUUCUCCUUUCCAAUAUCUUUAGCAAAAUUCAUUAGUUACUUCAACAGCCACUUGUUAUAGUAUAGAUGAUUUUUUUUUUUUGGGUUCUUCACCACUAAUACAUAGUUCCACUAGAAUUGGCUACGCUAGAUAAGAAAAGAAGAGAGGCAAUUCUAGAUACAGUAGUCCGUACUUUUGGAUGAAUGUAUCUUAUAUCUUAAAUUGUACCUUUUCACAGGUAAUGAGAU